GCCUGGCUGGCUCAGUCGGUAGAGCAUGUGACUCUUGAUCUCAGUGUUGUGAGUUUGAGCCCCACGCUGGGCA